rnacentral:lncRNA from 1 species
CAAGAACAUAUCAGAUCUAGUGGAUCACAGAACAUAUCACAAUGAAACCAUGAGAGAGAGAGAGAACGACGAUGGAGUGGAGGUUGCGUGCGGCUGUCGACAGAGAUGGAGGUAGCGGAGGGGGAGCGGCUGGUGGUGUGCAGUGGUGGUUGACGAUGAUUUGCAAAGAGAGAUGAAAUGCUUGUUCCUGCGUUUUUUUCCUUUUUCUACUUUUCCUAUUUAUUCUAUUUCUUUGUUGUGUUAUGUGUUGGUUAUUUUGGUGAGAGUGUGAGUUUGUUGGUGAUUUUAUGAAGAUGUUGUUGUAAUUUAUGAUGAUGUUGAUGAAUAUUUUCAAGGAAUCCUUUUUAUUGAGAUUUUUAAAUUUUUUGGGUUAAUUUUUUUUUUCUUUUCUGGAUUUUAUUUUGGAGUUUAUGAGUUUUGUUUGAAGGUGUAAUGAAGA